GAUGAACGCUGGCGGCGUGCCUAAUACAUGCAAGUCGAGCGAACAGACGAGGAGUUUGCUCCUUUCACGUUAGCGGCGGACGGGUGAGAAACACGUGUAUAACCUACUUAUAAUUCUGGGAUAACCUCGGGAAACCGGAGCUAAUACCGGAGAAUAUAUUGAACCGCAUGGUUCAAUAGUAAAAGACGGCUUUGCUGUCACUUCUAGAUGGAUCCGCGCCGCAUUGGCGAGUUGGUAGUGUAACGGCUUACCAAGGCUACGAUGCGUAGCCGACCUGAGGGCGUGUUGGGCCACACUGAAGCUGAGCCGCGAUCCAGGCUCCGACGGGAGGCAGCAGUAGCGACUGUACCGAGCUGGGCGAAAGACUGACGGAGCGACGCCGCGUGGGUGAUGAAGGUCUUCGGGUCGUAAAACGCUGUUAUUGGGGAAGAACAAAUGUGUAAGUAACGAUGCGCGUGUUGCCGGUACCGAAACAGAAGGCCACGCCAAACUACGU
rnacentral:rRNA from 1 species